GGAAGUGGGGAUGACGUCAAAUCAUCAUGCCCCUUAUGACCUGGGCUACACACGUGCUACAAUGGUUGGUACAACGAGUUGCGAGUCGGUGACGGCGAGCUAAUCUCUUAAAGCCCAAUCUCAGUUCGGAUUGUAGGCUGCAACUCGCCUACAUGAAGUCGGAAUCGCUAGUAAUCGCGGAUCAGCACGCCGCGGUGAAUACGUUCCCGGGCCUU
rnacentral:rRNA from 1 species